rnacentral:rRNA from 1 species
GAGCACGUAGGUGGGUUUGUAAGUCAGAUGUGAAAGCCUUCUGUUCAACGGAAGAAUUGCAUCUGAAACUGCAAGUCUUGAGUGUAGGAGGGGAGAAUGGAACUUCUGGUGGAGCGGUGAAAUGCGUAGAUAUCAGAAGGAACGCCGGCGGCGAAAGCGAUUCUCUGGCCUAUUACUGACACUCAGUGUGCGAAAGCUAGGGGAGCAAACGGGAUUAGAUACCCCGGUAGUCCUAGCCGUAAACGAUGGGCACUAAGUAGAGGGAAUUACCGAUGUUCUCUCUGCCGUAGCUAACGCAUUAAGUGCCCCGCCUGGGGAGUACGGCCGCAAGGCUAAAACUCAAAAGAAUUGACGGGGGCUCGCACAAGCGGUGGAUGGGGUGGGGUUAAUUCAAUGCAACGCGAAAAACCUUACCGGGGCUUGACAUGGUAGAAGUAGGAACCCCGAAAGGGUAACGAACGGUAUCCAGUCCGUAGCUAUUACAGGUGUUGCAUGGCUGUCGUCAGCUCGUGUCGUGAGACGUUGGGUUAAGUCCCCUAACGAGCGAAACCCCUUAUUUUUAGUUACCAGCGGGUUGUGCCGGGGUACUCUAGAAAGAACUGCC